CGUGUCUGACUCGUAGCAACCCCAUGGACUGCAGCCCACCAGGCUCCUCCGUCCACGGGAUUCUCCAGGCAAGAGUACUGGAGUGGGGUGCCGUUGCCUUCUCCUGUUAAACAGCAGGGCCAGGAUUCUAAGGCGGGAGCCCUUUCCCCGACCAGGGUAAAGGGAUACCAUCCUGGCAGCAGUGUAAAGGAUGAGUUGAAGGGAAGACGUCGUGGGCAGAGGAACCAGCUGAGGAAUAAGCACAAGCUGGAAUCAAGAUUGCCAGGAGAAAUAUCAAC